rnacentral:rRNA from 1 species
UACGUAGGUGGCAAGCGUUGUCCGGAUUUAUUGGGCGUAAAGCGAGUGCAGGCGGUUCAAUAAGUCUGAUGUGAAAGCCUUCGGCUCAACCGGAGAAUUGCAUCAGAAACUGUUGAACUUGAGUGCAGAAGAGGAGAGUGGAACUCCAUGUGUAGCGGUGGAAUGCGUAGAUACAUGGAAGAACACCAGUGGCGAAGGCGGCUCUCUGGUCUGCAACUGACGCUGAGGCUCGAAAGCAUGGGUAGCGAACAGG